UACAAGACUUCGGUCAAGUUGAACGGAUGACUUAGUGGCGGACGGGUGAGUAACGCGUGGGUAACCUGCCUUGUACAGGGGGAUAACAGUUGGAAACGACUGCUAAUACCGCAUAAGCGCACAGAGCUGCAUGGAACGGUGUGAAAAACUCCGGUGGUGUGAGAUGGACCCGCGUCUGAUUAGCUGGUUGGUGAGGUAACGGCCCACCAAGGCGACGAUCAGUAGCCGGCCUGAGAGGGUGAACGGCCACAUUGGGACUGAGACACGGACCAAACUCC
rnacentral:rRNA from 1 species